rnacentral:rRNA from 1 species
AUUGAACGCUGGCGGCAGGCCUAACACAUGCAAGUCGAGCGAGCGGCGGACGGGUGAGUAAUGUAUGGGGAUCUGCCCGAUAGAGGGGGAUAACUCCUGGAAACGGUGGCUACUACCGCAUACUAUCCGAUGGACCCAUGUGGGAUUAGUUAGUUGGUGGGUGAAAGGCUCACGUAGGCGACGAUCUCUAGCUGGUCUGAGAGGAUGAUCAGCCACACUGGGACUGAGACACGGCCCAGACUCCUACGGGAGGCAGCAGUGGGGAGUCUUGUACAAUGGGCGCAAGCCUGAUGCAGCCAUGCCGCGUGUAUGAAGAAGGCCUUAGGGUUGUAAAGUACUGUCAGCGGGGAGGCGUUACCCGCAGAAGAAGCACCGGCUAACUACGUGCCAGCAGCCGCGGUAAUAC